UACGUAGGGUGCGAGCGUUAAUCGGAAUUACUGGGCGUAAAGCGUGCGCAGGCGGUUUUGUAAGUCUGACGUGAAAUCCCCGGGCUCAACCUGGGAAUUGCGUUGGAGACUGCAAGGCUAGAAUCUGGCAGAGGGGGGUAGAAUUCCACGUGUAGCAGUGAAAUGCGUAGAGAUGUGGAGGAACACCGAUGGCGAAGGCAGCCCCCUGGGUCAAGAUUGACGCUCAUGCACGAAAGCGUGGGGAGCAAACGAGG
rnacentral:rRNA from 1 species